UCCCUCUUAGCUCAGUGGUAGAGCGCGUCACUAGUACACUUACCCAGUGUAUGACGAGGUCAGUCGUUCAAGUCGGCUAGAGGGAA
rnacentral:tRNA from 1 species